rnacentral:hammerhead_ribozyme from 1 species
AUCCAGCUGACGAGUCCCAAAUAGGAUGAAAAGUGCGUCCUGUAU